GAGCGGGCGUAGCAAUACGUCAGCGGCAGACGGGUGAGUAACGCGUGGGAACGUACCUUUUGGUUCGGAACAACCCAGGGAAACUUGGACUAAUACCGGAUAAGCCCUUACGGGGAAAGAUUUAUCGCCGAAAGAUCGGCCCGCGUCUGAUUAGCUUGUUGGUGAGGUAACGGCUCACCAAGGCGACGAUCAGUAGCUGGUCUGAGAGGAUGAUCAGCCUCACUGGGACUGAGACACGGCCCAGACUCCUACGGGAGGCAGCAGUGGGGAAUAUUGGACAAUGGGCGCAAGCCUGAUCCAGCCAUGCCGCGUGGGUGAUGAAGGCCUUAGGGUUGUAAAGCCCUUUCGGCGGGGAAGAUAAUGACGGUACCCGCAGAAGAAGCCCCGGCUAACUUCGUG
rnacentral:rRNA from 1 species